GGAGCUGUGCCUGAAAUAAAGGACCACUUUGAUAGAGUGUAUUAUGGGGGUUAAAUUCCCCCCAACUCCU
rnacentral:tRNA from 1 species